CCUACGGGAGGCAGCAGUAGGGAAUCUUCCACAAUGGGCGAAAGCCUGAUGGAGCAACGCCGCGUGGGUGAAGAAGGUCUUCGGAUCGUAAAACCCUGUUGUUAGAGAAGAAAAUGCGUGAGAGUAACUGUUCACGUUUCGACGGUAUCUAACCAGAAAGCGACGGCUAACUACGUGCCAGCAGCCGCGGUAAUACGUAGGUGGCAAGCGUUAUCCGGAAUUAUUGGGCGUAAAGGGAACGCGGGCGGUCUUUUAAGUCUGAUGUGAAAGCCUUCGGCUUAACCGGAGUAGUGCAUUGGAAACUGGGAGACUAGAGUGAAGAAGAGGAGAGUGGAAGUCCAUGUGUAGCGGUGAAAUGCGUAGAUAUAUGGAAGAACACCAGUGGCGAAGGCGGCUCUCUGGUCUGUAACUGACGCUGAGGUUCGAAAGCGUGGGUAGCAAACAGGAUUAGAUACCCUUGUAGUC
rnacentral:rRNA from 1 species